AAAGGUCGAACAAGGUACACUUUAGGUACACUUUCUAGAAAGAUACUUUUCAUACCGCCCUCGCUAGCAUAGCUCGAAGAAAUUGGUGGAAUGCAGGAGAUCCAGAAGAUCAUCCGAUUGCACAGUUAUGUUAAAGCUUAAAGCUCAGCUUAGGCAUGCAAUAGGUACAGGCGAAUAGACUUUAUUCAUGUGAAAUCAUUCCCCUGCAUAGUUUCACUUACGGCACACGUAUAUAUAGAUUUUCGUGAUUUUCGCAAUCGCAGAGUGAAUGGUGAAGACACGUGGAGUUACAUAACUUCCAAUUUUUCACUAUUAUCUAAUCAUCCGCUGUUUAUAUGGAUUAAUAAAUCCGAAGAGUGGCGUUAGCUGAACUACCCGAGGGAAAAGUGAAAAUAAAGUGAAAUUCUUGAAAGAAGCAAAGGGAUAGGAGUACUGGAAAAUCUUAAUACAGCCAAGCCGGCCAACCAAUCUACGGUAUCAACUACUAAAACAACCAAGCUGACCGUUUGGGAGUUAGCGCAGUGCACAUCCACGGCGGCAAAGUGAAGGCUGAACCGUUGACGUUGGGCUAGCUCAAUAUCGGAAAUCAUUUACGGCUCGUGAAAGACCAACCACCAUACACCACUGCUGGACGUCCGAAUAUCAGUUUGAACCUGCCGAUCUCGUAAAAAAAAGCCGGAGGACAUAAUCGUCACCAACCUACGAAAACUUACAAAGGAUUGAGUAAUUAGGCUAGCCUAAACCACAUUGCCUCAGAACCACUCUUGCUGUCAGCAGAUUUGUGUUUAUUUUGAUUCCCGUGUUUCUCAAAUUAAAUUUCAAGUGCAAGUUCCCGUUUGCCUUUAUCACUAUCACAUAAAAAUCUAUACGCUGCUGCUCUAAGAACCCGCUGAUUAGAUCCACAUAUUCAUAUCUCGUUUAUCAUUGUGUUGAUUAAUGUAGUAACUAAAUAGCUUCCUCCAAUGAGUAAAUUUGUAACGUAACUGACGAUUUU